rnacentral:lncRNA from 1 species
GUUUGUCCCUCGUUUCCGGCAACUCCGUUUUAACGCAUUCACUUGCAAGUAUCUUCCAUCCUUUCAAAAAUUGUUUUUCUAUGAGGAAAAUUGUAAUACCAUUUCCCUUCCUGCUUGCUGUUGUUUUGCGCUGCUUCAUUUGUACUCUGACAGUUAUAUCUCUCUCCAAACGAUACUGGUAUAUGUGCCAACAUUGUGUUCUUGAUAACUCUCUUAAUGAUUGUUUGUGUCUAAUUGAUACUCUGAAUAGGCAUGGAGAAUUACUUUAACAUUAUAGUCCCUUGAAUUGGUCUAUGUGAUGCACUACAUUGCAACAACUUUGUCAGUUUCUAGCAAGCCUUUCAUUUUUUGUUAUCUAAAUCUUGUUGUGAUCGUUGUUAAGUAUCG